rnacentral:rRNA from 1 species
UACGAAGGGGGCUAGCGUUGUUCGGAUUUACUGGGCGUAAAGGGCGCGUAGGCGGCAGAUCAAGUCAGGGGUGAAAUCCGGCAGCUCAACUGUCGAAGUGCCUUUGAUACUGAUUUGCUCCGAGGGAUAUAGGGGCUGUGGAACUUCUGGUGGAGCGGUGAAAUGCGUUGAUAUCAGAAGGAACGCCGGUGGCGAAAGCGGCUCACUGGACCAUUACUGACGCUGAUGCACGAAAGCUAGGGGAGCAAACAGG